CCAGGGCUCAGUGAGGAGCCGGAGUGUCCCGGCCUGCCUGGACUCCAGCCGGGACCUCCCACAUGAGGCUCAUUCAUCUAUGCCCAGGAUUCUCAAAGAACCCCGGCCCCAGCCUGCUCUCUGUCAUGUGCUGAGCCCCAAGCUUACCCAUGCCUCCUGCCGUGGGGACCAGAGAAUGAGAAGACCACCAGGGAGACCCGCCCUGGAGACCAUGGUGUGCUGCUGACUCACGAGAAUGACAUCACCAAGUGUGCCCUCUGUCCUGUCACUUGGAGCUCCUGGAAGCACAGAAUGUCCCUCAGCCUGGACACUGCCCCUGGCCUGGGGAGGUAGAUGCUCCCCACCUCCCCUCCUGCCCUAGUGCAGAGGAAAGAAGAUCAAAUCUGGAGUCAGCAGACAUAGGAGUCUAAUCCCUGGUUCUGAUAUAUCUAGGCAGUCAUUGCCUUAGCCACACUCAGCCUUAAUCUCCUGAUCUGCAAAAUGGGGAGAACCACACUAACUUUGCAGUUUGCGGUGAGAGUCAAGGAAACCCACGUGAGAAGUGUCUGGCACUGUGCCUCGCAUGUACUGGAUGUGCAGUCUUGAAGGAAUCCUACGCUUCAUGAAUGAGGAUUUGACAUCUGGCAGAGGUCUUUAUGAACACAUUUAUGAUCAUCCUUCAAAGCAACCACAUGAAAUGGGCCAGGGGCUUGUUCUCUUUUAGCAGACAGACGGGUUGAGUCACCACAAGAUGCUGUUAUGGUUUAAAUGUGUGGAGCUAUAUAUAUACAUACACACAUACACAUGUAUAUAUCAAUCAAGCUAUACUUAUCCCCAAUAACAGAGAGGAAAAAUAUAUUAUUAGAAUAAGAGCCGCAUAUUUUGGAAAACUUACCAUGUGCC
rnacentral:lncRNA from 1 species